rnacentral:rRNA from 1 species
UGGGGAAUAUUGGACAAUGGGCGCAAGCCUGAUCCAGCCAUGCCGCGUGAGUGAUGAAGGCCCUAGGGUUGUAAAGCUCUUUCACCGGUGAAGAUAAUGACGGUAACCGGAGAAGAAGCCCCGGCUAACUUCGUGCCAGCAGCCGCGGUAAUACGAAGGGGGCUAGCGUUGUUCGGAUUUACUGGGCGUAAAGCGCACGUAGGCGGACUUUUAAGUCAGGGGUGAAAUCCCGGGGCUCAACCCCGGAACUGCCUUUGAUACUGGAAGUCUUGAGUAUAGUAGAGGUGAGUGGAAUUCCGAGUGGAGAGGUGAAAUUCGUAGAUAUUCGGAGGAACACCAGUGGCGAAGGCGGCUCACUGGACCAUUACUGACGCUGAGGUGCGAAAGCGUGGGGAGCAAACAGG